rnacentral:misc_RNA from 1 species
AUUAUUAUUUAGUUUUAUAACAUGCCUCAUGAUUUAAAAGUUCUGAGUAAACGACAUUUGCGUCGCAAAACAGCUAUAAAUACUCGUAAAGUAUUACUGAGUAUUGCAGGCAAUAAUUGUGCACUCGAGCACCUUACGAAAUCACAAUUAAAAGAUGCUAGUCAUGAACAUGUGUCUUGUAUCGGAGAAUAUGUGCACUCUAUAGAUAGCGAUUAUGAUGUUGAUCAUAUCCAUCAAAGUAAUGAACAGAAUGAAGAAAACUCUAAUUCGAACCGCGAUAAUAAAGAUUUCAAAGACAUCGAAAGUGACAUAGAUAGCAUCAAAGCUACGUUGUACAGUUCUGAAGAUAAUUCAAGUUCCGUCAGCGAUGAAGUGCAUUUAGAUGAUGAAACGAACUUUGUUGAAAAUUUGCGCGACUGGGCAUCUUCAAAUAACAUCACACAUAACGCGAUCGAUCAAUUGCUAGCAUUAUUGAAACCAGCACAUCCUAUCUUACCCUUAAGUGCUAGGACUCUACUUCACACGUCACGACGUAUUGAAACGUUAAAUUUAGACAACGGAGAAAUGUGUUAUUUCGGUUUGGAGAAAUGCUUGAGACAAAAACUCGAGUCAGGUCUCAAAAAAGGACUGUCACCUGAACAUACGUUGCGAGUUGAUUUUAAUAUUGAUGGGAUUCCCGUUUAUAAAAGUAGCGGAACAUCAUUUUGGCCAAUUUUGGGACGCAGUAUUUCAAUGAUCGAUGAUAGCCCAUUUGUAAUUGGUGUUUAUUAUGGUACGGGUAAACCGAUGCCACUAUCUUCAUAUUUACGAGAUUUAAUUAAAGAAACGUCACGUUUAAGCACCAAUGGUUUUGAGUUUAAUGGCACCAAAUACUUUGUCAGAGUUGGUUUAUUCGCGUGUGACGCGCCCGCGAGAUCUAUGUUGAAAAUGUGUUUAGGACAUUCGGGUAAGGAUGCUUGCGAGAGGUGUAAGAUUCGCGCAGUUCAUCUCAACCGUAAACUGUGUUAUCCAUGUGACACCGAAUUCCAGAAGCGAAAAGAUAGUGAUUUUGUUGCACCUAGUGAAAACGAUCGUCACGUUAAAGGACGUUCGCCUCUUUUAGAUCUUUACGUGGGACUAGUCUCCCAAUUUCCUUUAGAUCCCAUGCAUUUAAUCUACCUGGGAAUUUUGAAGAGGUUGCUCCUUAAAUACUGGGUCGAGGGUUCACGUGAUUGCAAAUUGUCUAAGGAUAUUUUGUUAGAAAUUGAACGUAUAAUGAAACUAUUGGCGCGAUAUGUUCCGGCAGAGUUUCCUCGAAAGCCCCGUGGAUUUUUGGAUUUGCAUCGAUGGAAAGCGACAGAAUUUAGAUUUUUCUUGUUAUAUUCCGGCCCUGUUGUAAUGCGGGAUGUGCUAGAUCGAAAAAAGUACAAACAUUUUUUAUUAUUGUCUGCCGCCGUGUAUAUUCUAUCGAAUACAGCCUUGUUCUCGCGUUUUCGAAACAUCGCGCAAGAUAUGAUCGAAAAAUUCGUUACUCAAGGUGCUAAGAUAUACGGACAAAACUUUGUCGUAUAUAAUGUACAUUCGCUGCUGCAUGUCAUAGACGACGUAGAACGAUUUGGCCCAUUAGAAGAAUACAGUUGCUUUGUGUAUGAAAAUCAUUUGGGCCAUUUGAAACGACUUAUUCGAUCGAAACGCUUGCCGCUGCAGCAGCUGAGUAAUCGACUUGAAGAACUAAGUUCUAUUCGUAAAACUAAUUGUCAGGAAAAAUUUAUUCCUAAACCCAAAUUUAUUGGAAAUUCUCGUGAAUGUCAGGCUCUGGAAACGAAAAAAUUCAAAAUAUCAAUAAAAAGGCCGGAUAAUGUAGUAGCUUGUGGGACAGAAAUAUUAGUGAUCAAAUCAAUCCUUUUCAUUGCCGGAGAAUAUAGAAUUAUAGGUACUCCGUUCAAGUACAAGCGAGACCUUUAUCAGAAACCUAUUAAAUCUUCCAAACUAGGGAUUUUUUUCGUAAGAAGUUUCAACGUAGCGAAAUCUUAUCGCGUCGAUGAUAUAUUACAUAAAUUCGUCUGUCUUCCAUUUAAAGAUGGUUUCGCAGUAACUCCGAUACUACACGAAAUGAAAUAAAAUUUUUAUUUUUUGUUAAACAUCUCAACGAAACGAGCUCUCGACAAAAAACAGAUGAUGAACCUACGAUUCUCGGCAAUGUGUACGAGGAAGAGGGAUUCGUUCAAGACAUGUAUAGUAUGUCUAUGUCUACCUCGCACACAUUCCCGAGAAUCGUAGGUUCAUUAUCUCUUUUAUAUUAAAAGUUUGCUUCAAUUGAGAUGUUUAGCAAAAAAUAACAUUAUCGUAUACCUAUUACCAUAUACCGUAUAUGCCGAGUCUAAUUUACCUAGUAGUCCAAUAUACCCAACUCUACCAUAUGUUCAUAACAUCACUUUUGAGCUGAUUUAUUAUAGUUUUGUACGUCACAUUGACGUUCAAGUAUUGGUUAGACAUGCGUUCCCAAAAUCUUCAUAAUGUUUCAUGAUCGAUUCAUCUUUUAACUUAUAUACUACCUUGCAUAUUCCUAUGUUGAUGUCCUAAUUAAAAACUUUUAAACUGGCACUUUUUGCUCAGAGUGGAAUAAAAGUGCUUGAAUUUUGAUCAAAUAUAAAUUUAUACACCAGACUAGAGAAUAUGAUACAUUUAACGAUGUUUUUACUCAGUCGUGCUGCAGAACUAUGUAUGCGGUGAUUGAAUUCUUGGUUGGCGAAGAUAGAGAAUGCGCAUUGGUACCAGUUCUUUGGCUGGUCGAAAACAACACCCAAUGUUACUGGCCACGGACAAAAACUGAAGAUCAUUUUACAAAACUUGUAAAAUCAAAGGCUGCCUAUGAAAAAACAUGGCCAAAGUUUGCCAUUCACAAAGUACUGCAUACCGGAGAUGACUACCACGACACCGAAGCAACGAUGGCGCGCCUACUGGAGCUGGGCACGUCCGAUGAAUCCGGAAUAAUUCGCAACAUCGCUAAAAAAUCCACUGUAAUACCUCAGCAAGAUAUUACCAAUGACGUGGACGAGAAUGAAGCUACGAACAGUGAUGAUGUCGAACCUGAGCCGCAAAAGAAAAAACGUAAACACAAAACCGACAAGAAGAAGGCUAAAAAUCGACACGUUAGUAACAAAAAAAAAAAAACGAAGCGUUCUCGUGAAAGUUCAAGUAGUUUAGGUUACACCUCUUCAGCUGACGAGAAUUUGCCACCGUCCGAAGUCGAUGAAUCGACUUCUAACCGUAAUAAGAAUACUCGCUACAUUAACUCAGCCAAAGGAUCUACCAAAAAUCAGACACCAAAGAAAAACUUGGCCCACAAGAUCGUACAGCACCAGUAUAAUGAUAAUUCCCAUGAGUCACCGAAUCAGUUGUCUGGAUAUGAAACAUCAAAUAGAAACAUUUCUAGUAGGAUCAUCAGGUCUACCACGCAAUAUGACUUAUCAAGAUCCUUUUCACAACUUGAACCUUCAACCCCGACCACAUCACGCGAACAGAAUACCUUUGAAGAAAAAACUCUGCAGUAUUUAGAACACAUUAAAUCCUACACUGAACAAAACCAUCUGCUACUACGUAAAAUCUUCUCAAAACAGAAGGAAGUCAGCAUCGACGUAACAAAGAAACCAGCCGAAUUCCCAAAACUUCCUCUUAACUCCAUGGAAGACUUCUCCAACCUCGAAAAUAUCCUGAAAUCCGAAGAGCAUCGAACUUAUUUAACCGGGAAACUGGCUUCUAUUGGAGGGACAAGCGGUCGCCAAUGUGUGUUGGCUAUAAUGAGGUCACUACUCACAAACGAAUUAGCGAUGCAAUUCAAUUGGGCAGGGAGGGACAAAGUCUCAUUUCAAAAGACAUUGACAAUGGAAACUGUUUACGAGGCUGUGAAACAAACCUUUCUUGGCAAGAAGGAAAUUGGUGAUGCAACCGAAACCAGUGUUUCGUGUGCCGUGAAAGACUGGUUAAAACUAGCUCGAUCACGGCAUACCUAUGUACGAAAGAAGGGCUAAGAAACUGUGGUAAACGUCAACUAAUUUUAAAAACAGUCAUAUAAAAGUACAAAUCAUACAGGCAUAUAAAUAUUUCUGAUAUAAGUGUAAUAUUCUUAGCGUUUUCUGUUAGUUGUAACUACCGUGAAGACGAAAGUAUAGUGUAGGUUGAGCUGUGUCUAUGAGCUACAAGAUGUACCUUUUUUUUUGAUAAAUGAGUAUUUAUAGAUAUAAGAUAUUUGUGUAACGUUCUAACAAAGAUAUAAUAAAAUCGAUUCACAUAUAUAAACUAAAUUCGUACGCUUUCUAACUCAACCCAGACUUGUUUCUAGCUAACGUGAAAUGAUCUUCCUCUAUAGCAGUGUACUAUAUACGCUUUCAAUUACACAUCCAAGAUACGUUAUGUAUUCAAGUCUAGAGGUCCAAUUAAAAACGUUUUUUAACACUGUAUAAUAUUCGUUUAGACAUAAAUAAUGAAAGAUUAAAGCGUCAUUAACAGAAAACAUUUUGUCACGUUAGUUAAACGGACAUUGUCAACACA